UGCAAGUUGAGCGGGGAGCAUCCCAGCGGCGGACGGGUGAGUAACACGUAGGUAAUGUGCCUCAAGGUGGGGAAUAACACCGGGAAACCGGUGCUAAUACCGCAUAUGUCGAGAGAUGAAAGCAGCAAUGCGCCAUGAGAGCAGCCUGCGUCCGAUUAUUUAUUCCUAGUUGGUGAGGUAAUGGCUCACCAAGGCUAUGACGGGUAGCUGGUCUGAGAGGACGACCAGUCACACUGGAACUGAGACACGGUCCAGACACCUACGGGUGGCAGCAGUCGAGAAUUUUUCUCAAUGGGGGCACCCUGAAGGAGCGACGCCGCGUGGAGGAUGAAGGCUUUCGGGUUGUAAACUCCUGUCAUUUGAGAACAAGUGUAGCCAAAGUAACUACUGGCUACUUGAUAGUAUCAGAAGAGGACAGAGACGGCUAAACUCUGUGCCAGCAGCCGCGGUAAUACAGAGGUCUCCAAGCGUGGUGCGGAUCCAUUGGGGCGUAAAAGGGUGCGUAGGUGGCGGGGUACAGUUCAGGUGUGAAAAUCCCGGGGUCAAAACCCACGGAA
rnacentral:rRNA from 1 species